AUGAACGCUGGCGGCGUGCCUAAUACAUGCAAGUCGAGCGAACAGAUGAGGAGCUUGCUCCUCUGACGUUAGCGGCGGACGGGUGAGUAACACGUGGAUAACCUACCUAUAAGACUGGGAUAACUUCGGGAAACCGGAGCUAAUACCGGAUAAUAUAUUGAACCGCAUGGUUCAAUAGUGAAAGACGGUUUUGCUGUCACUUAUAGAUGGAUCCGCGCCGCAUUAGCUAGUUGGUAAGGUAACGGCUUACCAAGGCAACGAUGCGUAGCCGACCUGAGAGGGUGAUCGGCCACACUGGAACUGGGACACGGUCCAGACUCCUACGGGAGGCAGCAGUAGGAAAUCUUCCGCAAUGGGCGAAAGCCUGACGGAGCAACGCCGCGUGAGUGAUGAAGGUCUUCGGAUCGUAAAACUCUGUUAUUAGGGAAGAACAAAUGUGUAAGUAACUAUGCACGUCUUGACGGUACCUAAUCAGAAAGCCACGGCUAACUACGUG
rnacentral:rRNA from 1 species